GCCUGGGUGGCUGAGUCGGUUAAGCGUCCGACUUCGGCUCAGGUCCUGAUCUCCCGGGUCAUGAGUUCAAGCCCCACCUCGGGCU
rnacentral:tRNA from 1 species